UUCUCAGCCAUUUGGCUAAGAAAAUGUGGUGUUCUCAGCCAUAUGGCUAAGAAGGUGAUGUUCUCAGCCAUAUGGCUAAGAAAAAGUGGUGUUCUCAGCCAUUUGGCUAAGAAAAAUGGUGUUCUCAGCCAUUUGGCUAAGAAAAAGUGGUGUUCUCAGCCAUUUGGCUAAGAAAAUUGGUGUUCUCAGCCAUAUGGCUAAGAAGGUGAUGUUCUCAGCCAUAUGGCUAAGAAAAAGUGGUGUUCUCAGCCAUUUGGCUAAGAAAAAGUGGUGUUCUCAGCCAUUUGGCUAAGAAAAAGUGGUGUUCUCAGCCAUUUGGCUAAGAAAAAUGGUGUUCUCAGCCAUUUGGCUAAGAAAAAGUGGUGUUCUCAGCCAUUUGGCUA